rnacentral:rRNA from 1 species
UCCUUAGAUGUCCUGGGCCGCACGCGCGCUACACUGAUGCAUUCAACGAGUUUUACCUUGGCCGAGAGGCCUGGGCAAUCUUUUAAACCUGCAUCGUGAUAGGGAUAGAUUAUUGCAAUUAUUAAUCUUGAACGAGGAAUUCCUAGUAAACGCAAAUCAUCAAUUUGCAUUGAUUACGUCCCUGCCCUUUGUACACACCGCCCGUCGCACCUACCGAUUGAAUGGUCCGGUGAAGCCUCGGGAUUGUGGCCAGUUCACUUUAUUGGGAGUUGGCUGUGAGAACUUGUCUAAACCUUAUCAUUUAGAGGAAGGUGAAGUCGUAACA